UGUGUCUUAUGGGAGGUGUCACAGCUGCAGCUGGUAAAAUGAAUGAUGGGUGGUUACAGUGAGCUAAUGAGCAAGUGUCAUUGUUGAUUUGUAGCUGCAGCUUUUCCCUGCUGUGACACCUGAAAUGGGUCCGUUGGGUGUGUCACGAUGUCCCUUGAUUGUCCCCCAUUUUAGGAACCUAUCGAGAGAGCUGGACAUCUAUUGUUCAAUUCAAUUUAUUAUUUAUUAUUUGAUAUAGCAUCAAAUCAUAAUAAUCUCGAGGCGCUUUUCAUAUAGAGCAGGUCUAGACCGUACUUUAAUAAUUUAGAGACCCAACAAGAGAUCCCCCCCCUGAGCAUGCAUUGUUAUGCGACAAUGGCCAGGCAAAACUCCCCUUUAACGGGCAGAACCGGGGUCUGGGUGGGUGGCCAUCUGCCUCGACCGGUUGGUUGACAUAUGUCACAAAAUAUAAUGACAAUUCUGGCACUUGUUGACUCCCUGUGCAGUUCACCAACUCUUAAACUUGGGACUUAGGGGACCAAGUUAGGUGGAUAAUUGCUUAAAUGUUUGAAUCCACCUCUACAUUUAGGAGGGACUCCUUGCAGACAAAUCAGUAGUGUUCUUCCCCUGCACUAGCCAUAUUUAUCUUUUCCAAAAUAUCUCUCUGCGAAAGUGCUUUGCACCUCUUCAUAAUGUGCCUCUGCUUUGCUCUUGCCCCUCAUACCUCACAAUUUGUCCCAUCUGUAUGGCUGACAGAACAGAUGUACAGAUCUGUGGGAACACUGCCAGAAAUACUCCUGUGAAUAAAAAGAGUGGGACGAGAUUGAUGAUGACUCGCUGCUUAAUCAUGACGGUAGCCUGAUCAUCUCCUGUAUCGCUGAUGAUUCACUGGUUGUUUACACUGCAGGCUGGUGCCCUGAGGGAAGAGAAAGUCAGGUACGCACGCAACAUGAGGAGCAGGAACCGGUUGAGCAGCGUCGCCUACUGAAGAAGACGCAAGGUGGAGGUGUUUGAUCUCCUGUGACAGCAAGACUUACUCAACCUGUGUUUACGGAUGUGACAGAGUGCCCGAAACUUGAUGGAUUGCCCCGAGGGGCUGACAGUGCUUGUAUAAUGCUGUGUUUGUUCACAUAUGUAUUUGCAUGCUAUAUAUGAUAUUCUUUAUGUGGUUUGUUUGAUGUCAGUGCGAGAUGUCUGUUGUGAUUCACCAGAGGAUCCACUGUUGUCUGGACAAUAAACUGCGACCAGGGCCGUGACUCACGACUCCACAGCGCUGUCGAUCCUCAGUACUUCACUCCUCCAUUUACACAAGCCUUUUUUUUUUUUUUUGCUUGAUAUUGGAACGGACACACAGAACUA